GGAGCAGCGGUUGGAGGCAGCGCGGCUCCAGCACCAGUUGAACCAGCUCCAGGAGACCUGGGGCCUGCAGCGCUGGGGCUCCCUUGGUGACACCCCCAUGGGGCAGGAGGGGGCUGAGCCCCGGCAGGAUGAGGCCCAGGUGAGGACCCCCCCGGAGGCCAGCACCAGGUAGGGAUGGGGCCAGGAGGCCGCCGGCCCCACUGCUCCCAGUGCCGCUCAUGGCCUGCACCGGUAGGGCACCAGUGACACCAGUGACAACACCAGGACCACCAGUGA